GUAAAACUUUUUGUUGAUAUUUUAAAAUCUUUUAAAUAUACAUAUAUUUUGUAUAGUGUAUGACUUUAGAAUAUAAAUAUAACAGUAAUGAAGAUGGGUAGCAGUGAAGAAAUUAGACAGGAAUGGAAUUUGAUAAGGAAUGAAAUAAAAUCAGCAUUUACAUUUCUUUAUUUGGAGGAUGAGUGGAAGGGAAUGACGGUAGGCGGUGU
rnacentral:lncRNA from 1 species